CCUAAAACCUCUGCAAACCCCCGCAACCUCUAAUCUCCGUUAACCAUCCGUACCGCCAGUCCAAUUCCGAGAAUCUAAAAAUCCAAGCAUGCCCAUCAUCCAAAGCACCUGCAUCUCAAAUGUCCUGCCAAUCCCCAACUCUGCGGUUCCACUUCCACCCUAUUCUUUGAGCUGCUCCACCCUCAGCUCCAGAGCUUCUGCAUUCUUUACCAGAAAUAGCAACCCAAUCUUCAAGCCCAAUUACGCUCCUUUCCUCCGUACGAAGCCCCCAAGGGGUGCUCGUUUGGUCAUCCAGGCCGCCGGAACUGAUCAUUAUAAGACUCUCAACGUCCCUAGAAGUGCCACGUUGCAGGAGAUCAAGUCCUCUUAUCGAAAGCUCGCUCGCAAGUAUCAUCCAGACUUAAACAAGGGUGCUGGGGCUGAGGACAAGUUUAAAGAGAUUAGUUCUGCAUAUGAGGUCCUAUCAGAUGAUGAGAAAAGGUCUUUAUAUGAUCGCUUUGGUGAAGCAGGUUUACAGGGAGAAUAUGAUUCUUCGGCCAUGGGUUCAACAGGGGUGGAUCCUUUUGACGUUUUUGAUACAUUCUUUGGAGGGUCAGAUGGGAUUUUUGGAGGAAGGGGUGAAUCAGGAGGCUUUAACUUCAAUUUGAGGAACAGGGGAAACCAGGGUCUAGACAUUAGGUAUGAUCUGUAUCUGAGCUUUGAAGAAUCCAUUUUCGGAGUACAGAGGGAAAUUGAAGUUUCUUCUGUUGAGACAUGUGAUAAUUGUGGUGGAACAGGUGCUAAAUCUGAUAAUUGCAUAAAAUCAUGUACUGGUUGUGGAGGAAGAGGAGGGGUGAUGAAAACUCAGAGAACACCAUUUGGCAUGAUAUCACAGGUAUCAACCUGCUCAAAGUGUGGCGGUGAUGGUAGAAUAAUCACUGAUCCUUGCCAAAGAUGCAGUGGCAAGGGACAAGUACAGUCCAAAAGAACUAUGAGUGUGACCAUCCCAGCCGGUGUUAAUGAUGGAGCCACAAUGCAAAUUCAAGGGGAGGGAAAUUUUGAUAAGAAAAGGGGUACAGUUGGUGAUGUCUUCAUAGUGCUUCAUAUAGACAGAAAGGCUGGAAUUCAUAGAGAUGGACUCAAUCUGUACUCAAAGAUAAAGAUUGAUUAUACCGAGGCCAUUUUAGGGACUGUUAUAAAGGUUGAAACUGUUGAAGGCUUGAAAGAGCUUCAGAUUCCUUCUGGAAUUCAGCCUGGUGAAACAGUAAAGUUGCGGCGCAUGGGGGUUCCAGACAUGAACAAACCUUCUACUCGAGGAGAUCAUCACUUUGUUGUCAAUGUUCUGAUCCCAAAGAUAAUCAGUGAUAAGGAACGCGCACUUGUUGAAGAACUGGCUUCACUUAAGGCAUCUAGAGAAGGUCAUUCAGUUGCUUCCAAAGGCACAGGGACACAAGAUGCGAACUUUGCCAUGCAUAGAACCAGUGCUUCAAGCCAGGGAACUAGUCGUGUUGCAUCCUUCUGGAACUCAAUAAAGGGCGUACUGGGGAAGCGGCAGUCUUCGUCGGGAGAGGGAUUUGCAUCAGUUGGUGUAGGCAGCCCAUGCCCACCCUUAUUAUGGGGAUCAACGAAGCCAAAUUCGUGUUAUUAUAUGGCAUCGCUGUUUACAGUUUUAGUUGUAACUUAUAUUUGUAGCAUGAUGGGAAAGACCCGUAACCUUACCUUAUUACAACAACAAAGUGAUGCUUCUCCUCCUCAUACAACCAAAAAGAACAGCGUAGGUAGAAAGUCUAAAGUCUAACAAAGAUGUAAUGGCUACCUACAUUAUUAUAUAUUGGAUCUCAGGAUUUGCCCUGCCAUCUUUACACAUGUUAGAAGACACACUGCAAGAGCAAGGAGUGUAAAAAGCACACCUUGCACAAGGUCACCCAAUACAAGAAAGGAAAGGAUAGCCUUGCUGCUCAGGGAAAGAGGCGUUACGAUCGUAAGCAAAAUCAGGUUAUGGAGGUCAAACCAAGCCAGUGUUCCACAAGAAGGCAAAAACUACAAAGAAGAUUGUCCUGAGGCUCCAAUGCCAGGGUUGCAAGCAUGUGUCUCAGCAAGAGGUGCAAGCACUUUGAAAUUGGUGGAGACAAGAAGGGAAAGAGAACCUCUCUUUUCUAAGUGCACUGAUUGGGUUGUAUUUUGUGUUGCGUUCCAUCUUGUUGGAGCUUUAAAGCUAAUAUGAUUGUCCUUGUUCUUAGUUGUUCUGUUCAA